CGUUCCCCGCCCUCCCUUUCGCACGAUCGCACGAAGUUAAAAAAACUACCCCUCGCGACCUGGUUACACCUCCCCUCGCAACCUUCCUUCGCGCAAUUAAAAUAAAUAAAAAAACAGGACCCACGUCCCGUCUCCCAGUCUCCCCACCUCUCUCCCGAUCCAUCCUCUCUCUCGAUCUCGUGAGGAGAAUCGCGGCCGCCGCCUCUGCCCCGAUGCUCGUCGCGGUCGCUGUGGCACAGCCCAUGCAAGCCGCCCUUGUACGGCCUCCUCUCCUUCGCCACCGCAACAACCGUCGCUUCCAUGGACUACAUCGGCGGUGUCUUAGGAGGUUGACCCCUGUGGGGAAGCUAGCGGGAGCUCGCGGCCAACCAGAUCCAGUGCAGCGCCACCGAUGUCUGGGUGGAAGACGAGCGCUAGCUUCCUGGGUUAGCAUACCACCGGGCAGGAGGGCAGACGGAUGAGGGAGGCUCUCCAAGGAGGAAGCCGACCAACUUGUCACUAGGGGAAGCCGACCAGCAUAUAUAGGCAUGGUUGUCAUUGACAGAGAUUGGGUGGACUAUCUUUGAGAUCCUGCGGUACAUGUGAGCAUAACUGGUCGGCGUACGAGGAGGCCCUCAAGGCCAAUCCGGUUCUUGCCAAGAUGAUGGUCAGCGGCGGCUUCUACUCCCUCGGCGACUGGAUAGCCCAGGGUGCUCGAGCGCGACGACACGCCUACUGAGUUCCUAGCGCUCGGGAAUGCCAGAGUUGGACGCGCCCAUGCAUGCAUUUUAGCUCUGAGGAUGGCAUCGAGAACGUACACACUCAGGUGCUCCUCAGCAGCAGUUGAUCCAUGUGGGGUUCUAUUUGAGUUCCUUCGUCCCCUGGCAGCGAGGCAGCAAGUCCCCGUCCCCCCUCUCCGUCUCCGGCAUGUUGAUCCGGUUGCGUCACAGCGGUGGCGUGUGUGGUGUCAUGUCAUAAUAAGGUAGCAUCUUUUCUUUCCCCACCCUAAUUUUUGUGGUCAGCGUCCGGAGCCCAACCUACCAAUCGUUGUCCCCAAACCUCACCGACUUCUUCUGUGGGUGCUCUUUAUCCCCCCUCUCUCAUUUCACUUGACGCUGAUAGCUGAUUGCUAUCAUCCUCAAUUGUGCUCUUGUCUUCUAAAUUUGGCAUGGUAUGCAUUUGCUUGAGAUGAGGGUAUGGGAUGGAGGUGGCUCUAAUUUCGAGGCUGUGGUUUAUUGGGCUUAUAAUUUCGACAUGAUUAAUGAUAUGAACCGUAUGUUCUAUUUUCCAUAAUAUAGCUUUUUUCUAUGCAAUAUGAGGCUACGUUUCAAGUUAUUAUUAUCUAUUGCUUGCAUUCGAUGGCUGUACAGUAACAUGCUCUCUGAGAAAAGGUUAUGUUUCAUGUUAUCAUUAUCUAUUGCUUUGCAUUCGAUGGCAAAUAGACAACCGAUGUGUCAUAUCUUUGCCCACUCAGGAUGCCGAUAAAUAGGUCAAAAAAAAUAGAAAGACUUAUAUAUUUCACUAUGCUAGCUACAUAUGUUUAUGAUGGUUUAUUUUCACCAAAAUUUUGUUGAACUUCCACAGUUGAGAGAAGCUGAGCAACACACAGUUCCAAAAUUGUGCACUGCACAAGGAAGUAACCAUUGUAGUAUUAGCUAUUGUAAUCUACGAAAUUUCGUACUACGUGAAUAAGAUUAAGAAUGGCCAACUGAUUGAACUUGUUCACAACAUUAACAGUAGUCAUGAUAAACUUAUUAUUCCUGACUUUCUAUGUCUUGUUGUUUUCUACUGUAGACCUAUUUGCAGGUUUUUAUAGAAGAAUUAGUUUACGUGUUACUGGUUCACUUGCUACAGCUGAAACAUAUUUUGAUGUUAUUGUUAUUGACUGGAGCACACUAAUCCUAAUCUAAGAGGUCAUUUCUCUCACUUAUUUGCUGGAGGAGUUAGAAAGAAGAUAUUUUUUAUGACUACUGUGUUUUCUUUCCAGAAAAUCUGCAUGACGCGGCGUAAAAUCUGUACUUGUUCUCAGCAUGUUACUAGGAUCUAGCUGAACAAAAUGGAUUUUUGAUGUCCUGCAUGGAGUUCUCAAUAAGUUAUUCCUUGUCAUUUUUAGUGCCACCAAUGCAUGGGGUCUUUGUAUAUUAAAACUUUUCAUGUCUCUGUCUUGGCUCAUGUAAUACUUACCGAUACGAUUUACUUGUUCAUCAGAAUAAUGUGUUGAUUCCUUAACACAGCAUAAGCUUUUUUUCAAGAUCAUUCCAGGAGAUACACUUGCAUCUUUUAUCUACGUGAUGUGCCUUGUGAACUUAUGAAACGAAUGUGACCAAGGCUCCAACAAAUCAUCAUCACUAAAUGCUACAGAAGGAAAUGAUCUAUGCCAUCUGUUUUAUCUAGAGAGAUCAUGGUGUGAAGGGACUCAAUGUAGGGUAUUGGUACUAAGUGCUUGUUGCUAUAACAUACUUCUUUUGUUUUCUAAUAGAGAAAUAAAUGAGUUCUUUCGGCCCAACAAAAGAAAACAUAUAGUAUCUUCAAGGAAGUAGCCUUUUGAGUCAACAAAUUAUUCCCACCAUGCCAAAACUGAAUCCAUGGUAGUUUAGCAUACUCGAAUACUGUGAUACAAGUAGGAGUAUCAAAUACAAGAAAUUUCUUUCUUUAUGCGCACAUUCCCAGAAGCAUGAGUGUAUGUUCAUGGAGAAAACAUGGUCAAUUUUUGUGUAAAAAACUGAUAAUGUUCAAUACAUGUUUAGCAUGGGCAGCCAGAUGUUCUUGUGAAUUACUAAGCAUAUGGAUAAUUCAUCUCUUAAACAUUGCAAUCUUGCCUCCGAUCUUUCUGUUUGCUUCGCCAGACAAAACCUGGUAGCAAUGGGUUGGCCAGUGGGACAAAUAGGAAAAGAGAACUGAGAAGUGCCAAGUGGUCUGCUUUGAGAUAGGGGAAUUCAAAGUGCAUUUGUGGUUAUUGUUUCUGCAUUAUGCUUGUAUUCACAAAUUGUUCGGAAAAAAUGGAAGCAACUGUGUAAUAAUCAAGCAGAUCAUCAAGGAACGAAUAGCUAAGCAGAAUUACUUCCGCUUUUAUUUGCAUAUGAUGCCAAUAGCUUUACUUGAAACACAUUUGAAGUUGAAGUGAUAUCUUGUUGUUUUGGGGUAUUAUGUGACUAAUUUUCGUACACAUGUGAAAGAAACUUGAAUUACGUGAGGCAAAUGCAUGUAUAGGGGAAGAAAGUGUAAGGUGAUGUUUUUGAAAUGCAGUGAUAAUUGCAUGGCACUCAUUCUUGAAGUUACAAUGACGUUUUAAUCAAUGUCUCAAUAUACAUGUUUGUUGAGCCUAUAAAUCUUCACAAAAUAAUUGAAAUUAAUGUAGCUUGUGCAAAAAUAAGAGGUUGAAUACAUAUCUCAUUAUUGUUAUUAUUAACCUUUUGAAAUGCUAACGAAGAUCCAGAUAUGCAUACAUGAUUCUCCGGAUGAUUUUUUGUAGCCUGCACCAGGAGUGCCCAAGAGCAAAAAGGAAUACUAGAGAUGUCAGGCCUGAAUGUUGGUAUGGGAUCUGCUCGUGGUGCUCAACUGGAUGCAGGAUUUGCGAAGCUUCAAGGCAAAGACUUCCAGUACAUCAUGCAAUCUUAUGAAAUCAUCGUGAGAUGCAAUUCCAAGAAAGGAAAGGUAGACUUUGAUCUUAGCGCCGUUGGCGGAGAUAGGGAUGUUUCCCGCCUCCAUGCACGCAUCUUCUAUGAUUUUCAACACCGCUCGUUUUCCCUUGAGGUUCUGGGCCAACAUGGAUGCUAUGUUCAGAGGGUCCUUCACCGCCCAAGUGAUGAUCCCGUUAAACUGAAGUCCCAGGAUCUCAUUCAGAUGGGACAAACACGAUUCUACUUUCUCCUACCAGCUCGCCCCAUCUUUGCAUCCUUUGCUGCUGAGGGAACUCCACACUCCUCUAAUUUUCAUGGCCAAUCCGUUCAUAUUGGUUCUGCCACAGCUUCUCCUCGGCAAACUCAUAUUCCAUCAUAACACAUGUCUUCAUCCAGCAAGCGCCCUUCCCAUUCUGAUUUUUCUGCUUCUCGUAACAAUGGUUAUGGCGGGGCCAAUUGUGGCAAUGGAAUUAAUGUUGGCACUGGAACUCAAGGACUGUUUACGGUGCCAAUCAAGAUGUCUUCUGUUGAACUGAAGACCGGGCCUAUCAACGUUGAACGUGCUUACUAAAAAGUUCACUGCGAUAUGGCCCUAUGGCAAUGCCCAAAAGUACCUGGCACCAGAGGAUGGCUCCUCAACCAGAACAGCAGCGAGGCCAUGGCACAGGCUAUUGGAGCUGCUCAAGAAUCACCCGGAGAGGUUUAUCAUGAGUUCAAUCUCUAGAGGCACAAUAACAUUAGAGUUUGUUUCGCUGGUCAGCUUGGCUGAUAAGUUUUGCUCCCCUGAGGUUGAUCAGGUCACUGCCAGGUUCGUGUCCAAAAAAUAAAAAUGGAGAUUUCUCUUUGUUUGUGUCAUCAGCUCAUGUUGUAAGCCUGUCACCUCAGAGAUUUCUAUUUGUUUGUAUCUUCAGCUCAUUGUAAUCCUGUAAACCUUCGCGGGUGGGCUUUACUUGUGUACUUUUCGCACUGUCUGCUGUUAAGAAGAAUAAUCUGGAUUUUUGGGCUGAGCGUCGGUAUAUUUGCUUUGAUA